GGCGUCCCCCGCCCGCAGGAACCCGCGGCUGAAAAAGCGAAGGAGCGCGAUGAGGAGCCGCGGCACCAUCCCGGCACCAUCCCGGCAGCAUCCCGGUCCCGCGCACCCCCGCACCGCCCGCGGGCUGCGGGCACGCCCCCGCCGCGACACGCCCCGUCACGACACGGCCGAUCGCGACACGCCCCGCACCUGCUCUGCGGGGCUCCGCGGGGCGCUGGGAGGCGAGGAUGGGUGGGGGCUGUGGGGCGGCCGGGGGAUCGGACAUCACUCUCCAAUCGGGGGUGGGGGUCCCCGGGGUCGAGGGGGUGGUCCCGAUGUGGGAAUCGGGAUGUCACUCCCCGGUAUUGGGAGGGGGUCAGGAGUGGGAGUCCCAGUGUGGGGUGGUGAAGGGGGGAACGGGAGUGGGGCGGGUGCGCCCAUGUGGGGAGAGGAUCAGGGCAUGGCUCCCCACUCUGGAGCUUGCGGGGCAGGUGCCGACGGUGCCGUCACGGCUCUGGUACCCAGGAGGGCAAGAACCCCCCUCCGUGUUAAACCCUCCCCUCCUGGGGGUCGGGCCAGGAGUUUCCCCUUGCCCCUUCUCCCUUCUGGGGCAUGUUUCACCUCCCAGUAAAGAGACCCCUGUCACCUUAAAGGCUGCGCCCCACGUUUGGGUUGGGGCAGUCUUCCCCUCAUCCUCCCUGAUGGAGGGGCCGAAUCUCAUCCCAUCCCUCACCCUGGGGUAACCCUGAUGCAGGGCUCAGUAGAGAAAGCCUCCCCUGCCCCCCAUCCUAUAGGAUACUGCAGGGGGUCCUACCCAGUGUUCCCCUCUUGGAUAAGGAGGGACCCUCAUCUUGGGGACCCCUUAUAGGGUCUGUUCACCCUCACCCUCCUAUAUUAACCCCCCAUUGCUUUCAGUGAGGAGUGACACCUCCUCCCGUCCCCCCGACACUUACAAGGAUUUCGGGAUGCCGCCCCUCCCCAAUGGCCCCAGGGAAUCUGCACGGAGGGUGGACAUGCUCAAGCCGUGUCACACGAUGGCCACAUGCCACACGGUGAGAGGAAUAUCGCAUGGUGAGAGGGAUACCGGCAGCGUGACGAUCUCCAUCCCUCCCCCUCCUCCUUCUCUGGGCAGAAGAGAAAGUUCUAGUCUGGGGGAGGAUGGCCUGCUCUUCCUCCGGAUCCCGGGACUCCCGUGUCCCCAGGCACUCCCGUGUCCCUGCACCCCUGUAUCCUUGCCCCUCCAUGUUCCUGUGUCCCUGCAGUCCUGUGUCCCACACUCCCGUGUCCCUGCACCCUGUACCCUUGCCCCUCUGUGUUCCUGUGUCCCUGCAGUCCCGUGUCCCCCUCCCUGCCCAGGCACCCCUGUGUUCCUGCACCUCUGUGUCGCUGUCCCCAGGGUGCCCUUCAGGGACAGGACGCUACUAGGCUCCGCUGGGGGUUUGCAAAGGACUCCUCCCAUGGUCUCUGAACCCUCACUAGGACAGGUGGUGAUAAGGAAAUGCCACCCCGAGGCAGGAGCCAAGCAGGGAAUGGCGUUCUUGGAUGGGAACAUCUCAGCGGUCAGAUGGAGAAACACACAGCCUCAGAACCCAGCCCUGGAGCUGCUGGGGAGUAACUGUAGGUGCUCAGGAGAGGCAGCAGGGUGGGCUUCCCACAUUUCCAUCCAUCCUGUAGUUUUCUUUUGUUCCUAGCCUGAAGUGGAUCAAUAAAGUGCUGUGCCUCCUGUCUCUUCCUGGGAACUGGGGAGCAGCCACGCCGCA